rnacentral:rRNA from 1 species
UACAGAGACUGCAAGCGUUAUUCGGAUUCACUGGGCGUAAAGGGUGCGCAGGUGGCCAAGUGUGUUAGGCGUGAAAGCCCGGGGCUUAACCCCGGAAUUGCACCUAAAACUACUUGGCUAGAGCAUUGGAGAGGGGAGCAGAAUUCACGGUGUAGCAGUGAAGUGCGUAGAUAUCGUGAGGAAUACCAGAGGCGAAGGCGGCUCCCUGGACAAUUGCUGACACUCAGGCACGAAAGCGUGGGGAGCAAAAGGG